CCCAACAAAUCAACACGCAUUCAACCAUCAACGACGACCACCACUCUCUCAAUCUCCACCGCAGAAGCCGCCGGUAGCCACCAUCAAAGCACCGCUGCAUUCAUCUUUUCCUCCAUCACCGACCUCCAAAGCUUUGCCGAACUCCUCUGUUAGCCGUCGCAGGUCACGAGGCCUCCUUCUCCUUCAUCUUCAUCAACCUAAAAAUCCCAAACAACAGAGUUCUCUACCAAAUCGCACCAUGGCCGCCGCGCUUUCUAUCAUCUGCGAGCACCUCCUCCACUCCCAAACUCCAUGGAAACCGUGAAGCAUCUUCACGAGUCUGCGCCACCACCUGCAUCAAAACCAAACCUGCAACAAACAAACCCAGAAGCAGAAAAUCCAAUUCCAGGUUCGCGCAUUCCUUUUUCGCAUUCAGAAGUUUUUCUUCGAGCUCCAUGGAAGCACCAUUCAAACCAUCAAUCCUCUUCGAAAGAAAUAUCCGUUGUGCAUCCCAAAUGGGUUUUCUGAUUUUAUUAGAUCUGAUUAUUUUUUACAGUGGGAGGGUUCUUGAAUCCCUUUUUUCGUGCU
rnacentral:lncRNA from 1 species